CAGAGGCACCGGAGUGGGCGGAGCUGGGUUGCUAUGACAGUGACGUCAAUGUUGGUGUCGAGUAACCAAAGGUCAAAAUAAAGACAAGUGAAUGAAAACGGAAGGAAACUUAACGGGCUGUUCAGAAGAGAGCAAAAACACGGGCAAAUCCGGCCAAACUCCACACGGCACAGCUCGUGGACGUCAUGCCGUGCGAGAAUCGGCGUUUAAGUGUGCGGUGCUGAUUAGGACGUCUGGUGUUUUCCCAAGGUUGAAGGAGACUCCGGAGAAUGUUCCCAAAGAAUGGAUUCUCUGAAGUCAUCGUCGGCUUCCUCAAAUAGUCAAUGUGUGACCUUGUCAACUGCGUGUGAUUAUGUUUUGUUUGUGUUUCCAACUGUCACCUGCCCCUAUAAAGUUGACACCUGCAGGUAAACGCCCACAUCUUGACUACUUGACAAAGUACGUCUCAGCUUUUCCGAACGUCAGACUUCAGUUUCUUCAUUACUCGUUGACCGUAACCUGCGGCCCUCAGGUAGUUUGAGGCUGUAAACAUCCCCGACUGGAAGCUGUCUAUCUGUAGGGCUUUCAGUCUGAUGUUUGCUGCCUCCGACUGACCUCCAGCCUCACUGCACCGGACAAAUGUGUGCUCUCUGAUUUUUUUUUUUUUUGUUUUUUUUUUGGAUCUGCUCGUAUUGAUGUCCACGACCCUUUGACGACACCGUACCUUCAUCGCCUGCGUCCUCGGUAACAGACUCAGUUGGUGUAAACAUCCUACACUCAGCUGUAGUGAACUGCAGCAGAGGCUGAGAGAAGGUUGUUUACUUGAACUGGCUGGAAGUGACACACAUUGAUGGUCUUUUCCACAAGAAAACAAAAGGACACAUUUUUAAAAAUAUUCUGCUGACUGUUUAGAAUAGACAUGUUUACAAUAAAGAUGGAAAAAUGAGGUAAAAAAGCAUUGUUUUUUAAAUAAAGACAGUUUCAUGAAA